rnacentral:rRNA from 2 species
ACAUACGACCACAGGGUGUGGAGAACAGGGCUUCCCGUCCGCUCAGCCGUACUUAAGCCACACGCCGGGAGGUUAGUAGUUGGGUGGGUGACCACC